GGAGCCGGCCAGACAGUCGCGUCAUUCGCAAGAAUGCCGAGGAAAGUCCGGGCUCCAUAGGGCACGGUGCCAGGUAACGCCUGGGCGGCGCGAGCCGACGGAAAGUGCAACAGAGAGCAGACCGCCGAACGGUCCUUCGGGAUGCGUGGCAAGGGUGAAACGGUGCGGUAAGAGCGCACCGCGAGUCUGGCAACAGACCGGCACGGCAAACCCCACCGGGAGCAAGACCAAAUAGGGAGGCAAUGCCGCGGCCCGCGGUGUCUCCGGGUAGGUUGCUUGAGCGCAGCGGUGACGCUGCGCCUAGAGGAAUGACUGUCCACGACAGAACCCGGCUUACCGGCCGGCUCCGCCA
rnacentral:RNase_P_RNA from 1 species